rnacentral:rRNA from 1 species
GUCUGAAUAGGGCGUUUAGUAUUUGGUCGUAGACCCGAAACCAGGUGAUCUACCCUUGGUCAGGUUGAAGUUCAGGUAACACUGAAUGGAGGACCGAACCGACUUACGUUGAAAAGUGAGCGGAUGAACUGAGGGUAGCGGAGAAAUUCCAAUCGAACCUGGAGAUAGCUGGUUCUCUCCGAAAUAGCUUUAGGGCUAGCCUCAAGUGAUGAUUAUUGGAGGUAGAGCACUGUUUGGACGAGGGGCCCCUCUCGGGUUACCGAAUUCAGACAAACUCCGAAUGCCAAUUAAUUUAACUUGGGAGUCAGAACAUGGGUGAUAAGGUCCGUGUUCGAAAGGGAAACAGCCCAGACCACCAGCUAAGGUCCCAAAAUAUAUGUUAAGUGGAAAAGGAUGUGGCGUUGCCCAGACAACUAGGAUGUUGGCUUAGAAGCAGCCAUCAUUUAAAGAGUGCGUAAUAGCUCACUAGUCGAGUGACACUGCGCCGAAAAUGUACCGGGGCUAAACAUAUUACCGAAGCUGUGGAUUGUCCUUUGGACAAUGGUAGGAGAGCGUUCUAA